GUCUACGGUCAUAUCACCCUGAAUGCGCCUGAUCUCAUCUGAUCUCGGAAACUAAGCAGGGUCUGGCCUGGUUAGUACUUGGAUGGGAGAAGAGACAUAUUCUGUAUCAU
rnacentral:rRNA from 1 species